AUUGAACGCUAGCGGGAUGCUUUACACAUGCAAGUCGAACGAGUGGCGGACGGGUUAGUAAUAUAUCGGAAUGUGCCCAGUAGAGGGGGAUAACUACUCGAAACAGUGGCUAAUACCGCAUACUAUUGUAUCGGCCCAUCUCGGAUUAGCUAGUUGGUGGGGUAAAGGCUCACCAAGGCAACGAUCUGUAGCUGGUUUGAGAGGAGGACCAGCCACUCUGGGACUGAGACACGGCCCAGACUCCUACGGGAGGCAGCAGUGGGGAAUUUUGGACAAUGGGGGAAAGCCUGAUACAGCCAUGCCGCGUGUAUGAGAAGGCCUUCGGGUUGUAAAGUACUUUUGGCGGAGAAGCGAUAUCUGCAGAAUAAUCACCGGCUAACUACGUGCCAGCAGCCGCGGUAAUAC
rnacentral:rRNA from 1 species